rnacentral:rRNA from 1 species
GACGAACGCUGGCGGCGUGCUUAACACAUGCAAGUCGAACGGAAAGGCCCUGCUUUUGUGGGGUGCUCGAGUGGCGAACGGGUGAGUAACACGUGAGUAACCUGCCCUUGACUUUGGGAUAACUUCAGGAAACUGGGGCUAAUACCGGAUAGGAGCUCCUGCUUCAUGGUGGGGGUUGGAAAGUUUCGGCGGUUGGGGAUGGACUCGCGGCUUAUCAGCUUGUUGGUGGGGUAGUGGCUGACCAAGGCUUUGACGGGUAGCCGGCCUGAGAGGGUGACCGGCCACAUUGGGACUGAGAUACGGCCCAGACUCCUACGGGAGGCAGCAGUGGGGAAUAUUGCACAAUGGGCGGAAGCCUGAUGCAGCAACGCCGCGUGCGGGAUGACGGCCUUCGGGUUGUAAACCGCUUUCGCCUGUGACGAAGCGUGAGUGACGGUAAUGGGUAAAGAAGCACCGGCUAACUACGUG